rnacentral:rRNA from 1 species
AUUGAACGCUGGCGGCAUGCCUUACACAUGCCAGUCGAACGGCAGCACGGGUGCUUGCCCCUGGUGGCGAGUGGCGAACGGGUGAGUAAUACAUCGGAACAUGUCCUGUAGUGGGGGAUAGCCCGGCGAAAGCCGGAUUAAUACCGCAUACGAUCUACGGAUGAAAGCGGGGGACCUUCGGGCCUCGCGCUAUAGGGUUGGCCGAUGGCUGAUUAGCUAGUUGGUGGGGUAAAGGCCUACCAAGGCGACGAUCAGUAGCUGGUCUGAGAGGACGACCAGCCACACUGGGACUGAGACACGGCCCAGACUCCUACGGGAGGCAGCAGUGGGGAAUUUUGGACAAUGGGCGAAAGCCUGAUCCAGCAAUGCCGCGUGUGUGAAGAAGGCCUUCGGGUUGUAAAGCACUUUUGUCCGGAAAGAAAUCCUUGACCCUAAUACGGUCGGGGGAUGACGGUACCGGAAGAAUAAGCACCGGCUAACUACGUG